CUCACGUUGCCUGCUGGGAGGGGCGGGCUGGGAGAGGAGAGCCCCUGCUCUACUAAUGACCAGAAUUUGCUGGGCUGCUUUACUCACUCUGGAUCCUUUACUUCUGUGACCACCUCUUCUGCUCAGAACAGCCCUGAAAAGUAGGGUUUGUCAUCUGUGUUUCACAGUUCUGGAAGCUUGCCAAGGGCUGUAACCUGAGGGGCAAGAAGGAGCAGUCCUCGAGAUCCCGGGAUAGGGCCAUCCCAGGAUUCCAAAUGCCUUCCUAGAAGUUGCUUCCAGCCUACAGAAUCCCGGAGUUCCCAGAUGGGACACUGAAAGUGCAGCCCUGGGACCUGUGUCAUGCCCACGUGGUCUCUGGCCAUAGCCAAACCAGCCACAUCCUGUCUUCAUGGUCCAGGGAGCAGGUCGUGAGAUGGAGGAGCUAGAGGCAAAGGGAUCAGUAACAGCCUGGAAGGAGAGCCCAGCUAAGGGCCUUCUCGGUCAGCUUCCAUAGCGGCUCUGGGCCUGCUCCGCCAGCGGAACGAAUGCUGAGAUGAUGCUGCAGGCAGAGAGGCAGUUCACCCUUUGGCUGGCCAGGACCCAAGCCAGGGACUGGAACACAAGAGCAGGCAUUGGUCCCUCCCUGAUCCCCUGAACAAGAGCUGCACUGUGCACACCCCUCCCAUUCCCCUACCCCGCCCCUCAGGCCAGGACAAGGUCAGGCAGGGCCACCCAUGGAGGCCGGAAACAGGAGGACAGCCAGGCAGCAAGGAACAAGGGAGAGAGGCUUUGAGUUCCAGGAUCAGGGAUACACAGACAGACCUGCGGGCAGAGAGAGUCUGGGGUGGCAGGGGUGGCCACCAGGUGUUCCAAAUGUGUCCAGGACACAGAGGAGCAGACCCACGUGAGAGAGACCCAAGCCCAUAGGGGCAGCAGCAGGGAGGUUGAUUGAUUCUGGAGAUAAGGGCGACCCUGGACAAGGACACGGGAUUCACAGGCCCCACCGCACAGCCACAGCCUUCAGCAGAGCCCCAAGGCUCCUUGGCUGACCUCAUUCACUUGUCCAUCAACUGAGUCACCGCAACUCAACACUGCCAGCCCCGUGUUGGGCACUAGGGGGAAAGAAGUGAAAAGGCACUGUCCCCAGCUUCAUGCAAGCAGCUGAACCCAGGAUCUAGAUUUAAGGAGUUGUUUAUGGGGCACCUGGGUGACUCAGUCGGUUAAGCGUCUGACUUUGGCUCAGGUCAUGAUCUCACAGCUCGUGAG